UACGACAAAGCGAUGAUGAUCGGUACCAGUACAAGGAACAUAGCAGCAAACCAAGGAGACAUCGAAGCCUUCUUUCUUAAGCAUUUCUUCUCUCUUUCUUCUCCUUGACCCGAAGUCGGAAGGUCAAGCAACAGAGCGCUUCGGGAGGAGGAGGAGAAGAAGGAAGAAGAAGCUGUUCGUCAAUCAUCGCUAAGCUUGCUUCUCGUACAGGAACGAGGUUUAUCUCCAAUUCUUUUGUCACUUGCGUUCUUCGCUUGAACUCUCACACGAUACGUAUCGGAUCACUCCCCAUUCAAAGACCCCCAAAAUGCGAGUUUUUUCCACUUGUUAUUGCAUAUAGUUUGAUGGGUACCUGUCCUUUUGCUAAAUUUUAGCACUUGGGACAUUGAUCACCGGUUGAAACUGUUAGUGUAGGUAUAAAUCGGCUGUUUUUGAACAUGGUUAGUGACUUCUUGAAUGAGGGGUUUUUAACUUUUGAUGUUGUUGAGGUAGUGGUGGUUCAAUGGGGGGUCCGAGUCAGAGACAGUUAUCGGCGUCGUCAUCUCGCCUCUCGCCUUUGGCCGAGCCCUUCAAAUUGAGCAAGCCCUAUCAGCAGCAAGUUUACACUCACUCAUCAGAGCCUUCAAUUAACAAUUGGCAAAGUCUCAGUCCUUCUGUUGUGUUGGUCCAUCCGUUUUCCAGUCUUGGAUUGGAAAGCGAUGCACCGGGUGAUUGCAGUUACUCUGUUUCUGACUUUGGAACUAAAGUCUCAGGCUUUCCUUAUGAUUAUCAAGAUUACCCAUCUGAGGCAUCCCAGGAUCUCGGUGGUUAUGAAACUGUAUCCGUAAUUGAGUCGUCUCUUGUGAAUUGUGGCAAAGAGGUUUCCAGUCUGGUCUGUGAUGGCCAAAUGAGUGGUGUUGAGGAUGAGGGCACUCAGGAUAAAAAAGGAAGCAGCAUUGGCUGUCAGGGGAGCAUUGUUGUUGAGGGGAAGAAUGCUAGUGAUUCGACCGCAUAUCCGCUCUUUGCAAAGCAAGGGAAUAAUGCUUCCAAAGGAUCAAAGAGCUUCCACGAAACUUGUAAUGAUCUCUGUAUGGGUUAUUUAGAAACUUUUGCGAGAGAUGAUCAGGUCAAAUUCCGAGGGACAGAGCAAAAAGAAGCUGAAUGUACCUCAUUUCCAGUACUAGAUCCCAGUGUCAGCCCCUUAGAGCUUUCAGUUUUAAUAAAUCAGUAUUCCUCUGCAACCUCCCCAAAUAGUUACAGUCCCUCACAAUGUCCAGCAGAUGUGGUUAGAGGGAACAACAAUAAUCCUAACAUUUUUUCAUCUGAAUCUGAUGGAUGCUUCCCCCAGUUUGAAUCUCAUAAAGAGAAACGUGCAGAUUCUCCUUUUCCGGGUACAAAUCACUGUCAAGCUCCGUGUUUUGGGCAAUCAAGCAUUGAUGAAAUAAUUUCUCCCUCUGAUCUUGCUGUUUCGAAACCUUCGAGUUUUAGUGGUAUUGGGGCUUUCAACGGAAGGGAGAACGAUAGUACAUUGGAAAUGGACUUUUCUGCUCAUGACGAGAGAUUUUCUGCUCUAGAAGGCGAGGAGAGAAAAAGUCAGAGAUUUGACACUGUCAUGAAUGUUGAAUCUUUGCCUGGAGUUCAAUGCAAAGGGAAAGUUGCUGAAGGAAGUAAUUUUGCCCAAGAUUCUCUUUCAAUGCCUGAAAAGGAUGGACUCAACCUAAAUGAGCUAGACGAGAGCGAUGCUGACGAAGAUUCACCUUGUUGGAAAGGACUGAACUUUUCGCAAUGUGCGUUUAGAGAAUCCGAAGCUUCAGAACAUCAACUUGAUGAAGCUCCUGAUCGUAAACUUCAAGAAAAUCGAUCAGAAGCAAGAAAAAGUUUGAAUCCCCUAGCACCUGUCUUUGUUCCUCAAAAUAUUGAACUUAAGUUGUGUCACAAGGAGAUUGAAUGUGCACAAAAUGAUUCCUUGCCUUUCCAAAAGCGUGCAUCCUCAGCUGCUAUCCCAUUGUCUGAAGUACAGACAAUGCAAUAUGACAACAUGGCAAGACACUUCAAUUGGGAAGGACUGAAGACAAUUGGCCCUCAGUUCAGAAAUGAUAUGCAUAAUCCUGCUCCGGAACCCCUUCUGAAGGGAAAGACAAGUAGCUUUGCUAAGGUUGAUUCUGGUGUCACAUCACCAUUUCCUAGGGAGGAUUUUGUUACACAUACUGGUGAUAUUGGAAGGGGAACAAAUCUUGAAGUCCCAGUGAACAUUAUCAAUGAUAUCACACUUCCCGAUGCAACUAGUGUUUCUGUCUCUGCGGUGGUGCAUGUCUCUGAGUCAAAGUCACUUGAACGGUGGUCUUUUUUAGGAGUUGGAGUGCCCACUUACACUGAGGCUCCUUCCGAUGUAUCUGACCUAGUGUCCACAUCAUCAAGGACAGAAGUGGAUGUACUUUUGAAGGAGAUGCAUUCUCUUUCAGAGUUGCUUAUAGAUAAGUGUGAGAAUGGAUACGUGCUGAGUGAUGUUAUACAUGACAGAAUCCAGGUUGUAAUCAGCAAUCUCUCAAGGUGCACAAAACAGAGGGAGAGGCAGUGGACAUCUUUGGAUGGAUUAAAUAUUCCUGGGAUCUUGAGCUUUUCAGACAAGUCUGCUUAUGCAUGCAUGAAUACUGAUUCAGUGCUGUCAAAUAAGGAGUUGCAGGAUGCUCGUCCUCUGGUCAGCAAUAUAAGUAAUGGGAUUCCCCAGUUCAUUGAGAAGAGUAUGGAAGCUGCUCAUGCUGAGGACCAAAUGAGUCCCCAGACUGUAUUAUAUAAGAACCUAUGGCUUGAAGCUGAAGAGGCAUUACAUGCAAUGAAGCAUAAGGCAUCCAUUGCACGUAUAAAGUCCAAGACAUAGAUUCACCGGAGUGAACACUUAAGUUUUGCUUCUUGGUUGAAGCUUGAUUUUUCAGGUGAUCGUGCUGUGCUUUCAAGAUAAUUUCAACCAUGUCAUUUCAUCAGAUGUUAAUGGAUCAUGUAACAAAAGGCUGACUUGACAGAAAAAAGACAUGUCACUCUAUCCACAUGUCAUAUGGCAUCUCAGCAUUUUGGUAACUUAUCUAUUGGACGGUUGAUGAAAUGAAAUGAUUGAAAUCAUUUGGAAGGACAAUGACCUGAUUGGAAGUUUUAAGUUCAGUGUCCUGAUCGAAUGUAGCUGCAAAGUUGGAUGACUGUAAAAGUAUCUUGCCCUGAUUUUGCUGUAUGAGAACGUGAGACAUUCUUUCACUACCCCGAGUGAAAGUCGUUUGAGACUUGAGAGUUUAUAUUUGAUCCCAGAUGUUAGACUUCUGGAGAUGAUGGGGAACGGGAACUACACAUAUUUGAGAUGACGAAAGAAACUGUAAGCCAUGCUCAAGUUUAUGUUCA